rnacentral:rRNA from 1 species
CAACUCGCCUGCAUGAAGUCGGAAUUGCUAGUAAUCGUAGGUCAGCAUACUACGGUGAAUACGUUCCCGGGCCUUGUACACACCGCCCGUCAAACCAUGAGAGUUGGCAACACCCGAAGUCGGUAGUCUAACCGCAAGGAGGACGCCCGCCGAAGGUGGGGGUUGAUGAUUAGGGUUAAGUCGUAACAAGGUAAC